UGAAUACGAGACGCUACGGCGUCGAAGCAGUCUAUGUCAUACUUCCAAGAAAAGCUUGCACUGUCAUAAACAAAUAAUGCCUGUACCAUAACCGACACAGGUGGGUAGGUAGAGUAUACUAAGGGGCGCGAGAUAACUCUCUCUAAGGAACUCGGCAAAAUGACUCCGUAACUUCGGGAGAAGGAGUGCCUUAUUUAUAAGGUUGCAAUAACAAGAUCCAAGCAACUGUUUAUCAAAAACACAGGUCUCCGCUAAGUCGUAAGACGAUGUAUGGGGGCUGACGCCUGCCCAGUGCCAGAAGGUUAAAGAAGUUGGUUAGCAUUAGCGAAGCUGAUAACUGAAGCCCUGGUGAACGGCGGCCAUAACAAUAACGGUCCUAAGGUAGCGAAAUUCCUUGUCGGGUAAGUUCCGACCCGCACGAAAGGCGUAAUGAUUUGGAUACUGUCUCAGAGAGGGGCUCGGUGAAAUAGACUUGUCUGUGAAGAUGCGGACUACCUGCACCAGGACAGAAAGACCCUAUGAAGCUUUACUGUAACUUGAAAUUGAAAUUGGACUUUAUUUGCGCAGUAUAGGUGGGAGGCAUUGAUAAUAUUCUUGCGGGAAUGUUGGAGCCAUCAGUGAGAUACCACUCUUGUAAUGUUAGAUUUCUAACUUUGGAUCAUUAUCUGGUCAAAGGACAGUUUCAGGCGGGCAGUUUGACUGGGGCGGUCGCCUCCUAAAUGGUAACGGAGGCGCACAAAGGUUUCCUCUGAACGGGUAGAAAUCGUAUCUAGAGUGUAAAGGCAUAAGGAAGCUUGACUGUGAGACCUACAAGUCGAGCAGGGACGAAAGUCGGUCUUAGUGAUCUGACGGUGCUGAGUGGAAAGGCCGUCACUCAACGGAUAAAAGUUACUCUAAGGAUAACAGGCUGAUCUCCCCCAAGAGUUCACAUCGACGGGGAGGUUUGGCACCUCGAUGUCGGCUCAUCGCGUCCUGGGGCGGUAGUACGUCCCAAGGGUUGGCUGUUCGCCCAUGAAAGCGGUACGCGAGCUGGGUUCAGAACGUCGUGAGACAGUUCGGUCCAUAUCCGGUGUAGGCGUUAGAAUAUUGAGAGGAGCCUUCUUUAGUACGAGAGGACCGAGAAGGACAUACCUCUGGUGUACCAGUUAUCGUGCCAACGGUAAACGCUGGGUAGCUAUGUAUGGAGAGGAUAACCGCUGAAAGCAUCUAAGUGGGAAGCCCACCUCAAGAUAAG
rnacentral:rRNA from 1 species